rnacentral:rRNA from 1 species
AGAGUUUGAUUCUGGCUCAGGAUGAACGCUGGCGGUAUGCUUAACACAUGCAAGUCGAACGGUCUCUUCGGAGAUAGUGGCGGACGGGUGAGUAACGCGUGAGAAUCUGCCUUCAGGUCUGGGACAACCAUUGGAAACGGUGGCUAAUACCGGAUGAGCAGAGAUGUGAAAGAUUAAUUGCCUGAAGAGGAGCUCGCGUCUGAUUAGCUAGUUGGUGGGGUAAGAGCUUACCAAGGCGACGAUCAGUAGCUGGUCUGAGAGGACGAUCAGCCACACUGGGACUGAGACACGGCCCAGACUCCUACGGGAGGCAGCAGUGGGGAAUUUUCCGCAAUGGGCGAAAGCCUGACGGAGCAAUACCGCGUGAGGGAGGAAGGCUCUUGGGUCGUAAACCUCUUUUCUCAGGGAAGAAAAAAAUGACGGUACCUGAGGAAUAAGCAUCGGCUAACUCCGUGCCAGCAGCCGCGGUAAUACGGAGGAUGCAAGCGUUAUCCGGAAUGAUUGGGCGUAAAGCGUCCGCAGGUGGCUAUGUAAGUCUGCUGUUAAAGAGCAAGGCUCAACCUUGUAAAAGCGGUGGAAACUACAUAGCUAGAGUGCGUUCGGGGCAGAGGGAAUUCCUGGUGUAGCGGUGAAAUGCGUAGAGAUCAGGAAGAACACCGGUGGCGAAAGCGCUCUGCUAGGCCGCAACUGACACUGAGGGACGAAAGCUAGGGGAGCGAAUGGGAUUAGAUACCCCAGUAGUCCUAGCCGUAAACGAUGGAUACUAGCGUGGCUUGUAUCGACCCGAGCCGUGCCGGAGCUAACGCGUUAAG